AUUGAACGCUGGCGGCAUGCCUUACACAUGCAAGUCGAACGGCAGCGGGGGAGAAGCUUGCUUUUCCUGCCGGCGAGUGGCGAACGGGUGAGUAAUACAUCGGAACGUGCCCUGUAGUGGGGGAUAACUAGUCGAAAGAUUAGCUAAUACCGCAUACGACCUGAGGGUGAAAGUGGGGGACCGCAAGGCCUCAUGCUAUAGGAGCGGCCGAUGUCUGAUUAGCUAGUUGGUGGGGUAAAGGCCUACCAAGGCGACGAGAAGUAGCUGGUCUGGCAGGACGAUCAGCCACACGAGGACUGAGACACGGCCCAGACUCCUACGGGAGGCAGCAGUGGGGAAUUUUGGACAAUGGGCGAAAGCCUGAUCCAGCAAUGCCGCGUGUGUGAAGAAGGCCUUCGGGUUGUAAAGCACUUUUGUCCGGAAAGAAAUGGCUCUGGUUAAUACCUGGGGUCGAUGACGGUACCGGAAGAAUAAGGACCGGCUAACUACGUGCCAGCCGCCGCCGUAA
rnacentral:rRNA from 1 species